rnacentral:lncRNA from 1 species
CCCCCAGUGGCAAAGCCCAGCCUCGGACUCCAGCAUGGGCUCCCGACCCAGCUCACCCACCCCCAUGGCUAGAGGAGUCAGCUCUGCAAGCCACCAUCACAUCAACCAGGCCUGUUUCUUCUUUCUCUUCUCCAAAUUCCCCAUAGGAUUGUGACCAGAUCCACGUUGAUGAUGUCUCAUCAGAUGACAAUGGGCAAGAUUUAAGAGUUUGAUCCACGUCCCUUUGGAGACUUCAUGAUAUUCGUUAGCUGCACCUACAACUUCUCCACCAAUGGCUUCCACAGUGCAGCCCCGGGGGCCGGCCUGUGCCUAGGCACCAGGGUGUAUGGCGGUGUGGACUGGAUGUGGAAUCUGGCCUUCCACUACCGGCGGGUGAAGGAGAUGUACAACACCUACUGGGACAACAUGGGCGGUGAGUGCAGGGACUUCCACAGAACGGACUGGGCAGUGGGAGAGC